GGUUGCUUUACCUUUUACUUGAGUAACUUUCUAUUAAGGUAUUUAUACUUUUACUCAAGUAUGACAAUUGGGUACUUUUUCCACCACUGCAUGCACGCACGCACGCACGCACACAGAGAGAGCGAGAGAGAGAGAAAGAGAGAGCGAGAUACUUUUUUAUGGCGCACACUCAUACAGUAUAUCCUCAUAACCCUUGCAAAUAAGAAUAGCGCCCCAGUCAACUGUCAGUGGUGAGCGUAUCACAUGUCGCUAGUGGAGGUGUUCGAUGUUCGUGUUCAGGUGAGCUCAUACAGUUAGUUAUACAGUCCUUAUGCCGCUACUUUCAUGAGCCACGGAGAGGAGGACCUGGGACACAGCUGGCCCAUCGUGGUAUACUUUCCCGCACUCCAGGGAAGAGCACGGACAGGGCAGAGGCGGGACAGUGAGAGGACGAGGCAUCAGAGGACAACAACACGGAGAGCGGACACAGCCGAACCCAACGCGACAUGGAGAUGACAACCCGGAAUUUGCACCUCGACUCCAAAGUUGACAAUUGCGAUGGAGUGAUCAACAGAAAUGGCGGGGACAUGACGGAGAUAUCUGUGCCUCUGUCCCACUCUGGGAAGCGUAUGACUCAAAUCGAGGGGGGCAAUCUUUAUAGAUUGCGAGAUAGAAAAGUUUUAUUGGAGAACAAAAAGUGUCUGUGCGCAUGGGCUCUAGGCACCGCGCUGCUUGGGACACUGCUCAUGAUACUGCACGCGGAGCUGUGUCCGUUUAUUUACCAACCGGGCUCCCGCUACGCCUUUAUCAUCAACUGCUCCAUCAGCAUAUCCACUGGGUGUCUUCUGAUUCUCAUCGUAGCCUUCCAUUAUAAGGACAUUAGGGUGAGUGUGUGUUCUCUCUGACCUCUGAUCCCAUUGUUGACUGUGCAGCCCAGCUCUCUAUCACUGGAAAUAACUGUGUUAGUUACUCUUUGAACAUAGGAGUUGAAGGCAGGGGUUACAUUAAAUCACUAAUUGUUAAAGGUAAGCAGGAUUAGGCGGCCACCUG
rnacentral:lncRNA from 1 species